rnacentral:tRNA from 1 species
UGCGGUAAAGUAUUAUAUAUUGUACGCGGGCUUUUGGAUCCCGAGGAACGUUGGGCGUUGCUGUAA